rnacentral:misc_RNA from 1 species
UUUCCGUAGGUGAACCUGCGGAAGGAUCAUUAGUGAAUAUUAGGGCGUCUACUUCGGUAGGGCCUGACCUCCACUUUCUAACUCUGUGCACUUAUUUGGCGGAAAAGGGAAUUAGUGAUCGUUGCAAUGACGAUUACGACAUCUUACUUUCUACGGCUUACUUUAAACACUAGUCAUAGUAUGUAACGAAAUAUCGAAACAAAUAAAAACUUUCAACAACGGAUCUCUUGGCUCUC